CCGUGCUUGCUCCACAGCGGAUAUACUACAUGUGAACAACACAGAGAAGUUCAGCAUAGCCCCUGUGUAACGAUGACACAAAUACAUAAAGUGUUCCUUAUUUUU